rnacentral:rRNA from 1 species
GAUGAACGCUGGCGGCGUGCCUAAUACAUGCAAGUCGAGCGAACAGACGAGGAGCUUGCUCCUCUGACGUUAGCGGCGGACGGGUGAGUAACACGUGGAUAACCUACCUAUAAGACUGGGAUAACUUCGGGAAACCGGAGCUAAUACCGGAUAAUAUAUUGAACCGCAUGGUUCAAUAGUGAAAGACGGUUUUGCUGUCACUUAUAGAUGGAUCCGCGCUGCAUUAGCUAGUUGGUAAGGUAACGGCUUACCAAGGCAACGAUGCAAAGCCGACCUGAGAGGGUGAUCGGCCAAACUGGAAGUGAGACACGGUCCAGACUAAUACGGGAGGCAGCAGUAGGGAAUCUUCCGCAAUGGGCGAAAGCCUGACGGAGCAACGCAGAGGGAGUGAUGAAGGUCUUCGGAUCGUAAAACUCUGUUAUUAGGGAAGAACAUAUGUGUAAGUAACUGUGCACAUCUUGACGGUACCUAAUCAGAAAGCCACGGCUAACUACGUG